UCCGGACGUCGCUGCUUUUGAUUCGUGUCCUGUCACUCGGAUAUGCUGCAAGAAGCUAUCAGAAAGUGGCAUUGAUGAGAAGAAGCACAAACCCUCCACCAGCAAUACCACUGCCUCUAAAUCCAAGGACAGAAUGGAAGAUUACAAUUUUGCUAUGAAGAGGAUGAUGAGGAAUCCUUGUGAGUAUCACCACGAUCUGGGUAUGAAUUACACACUUAUAACUGACAAUCUCAUUGUGGGAUCCCAUCCACA